rnacentral:lncRNA from 1 species
CUUUUUAAAAAAUAUUAGUAUUAGAAAUUUGUUUCGUUUUCACAGAUAUUAAAUAUUAUUAUUUGCUUUGAUUCGUAGAGUUACGGAUAUCCAAAAUUUUCGGUUCGAAUCAAAACAAAUAAUAAACCGAAUCAAAUUUUACAGAUAUUUUAGUGCUUCCAUUGUAAAUUUUGUUUAUUAAUAUGAAGUGUGAAAUUUGUAUCCCAAAAGCGCUUAAAUACCCGUACAUGCCCUCGUAAG